rnacentral:tRNA from 1 species
UCCCUUGUACCUCAGUUGGUAAAGAAUCUGCCUGCAACGCAGGAGACCCAGGUUCGAUCCCUGGGUCAGGAA